UGGGGAAUAUUGGACAAUGGGCGAAAGCGUGAUCCAGCCAUGCCGCGUGUGUGAAGAAGGUCUUCGGAUUGUAAAGCACUUUAAGUUGGGAGGAAGGGCAUUAACCUAAUACGUUAGUGUUUUGACGUUACCGACAGAAUAAGCACCGGCUAACUCUGUGCCAGCAGCCGCGGUAAUACAGAGGGUGCAAGCGUUAAUCGGAAUUACUGGGCGUAAAGCGCGCGUAGGUGGUUUGUUAAGUUGGAUGUGAAAUCCCCGGGCUCAACCUGGGAACUGCAUUCAAAACUGACUGACUAGAGUAUGGUAGAGGGUGGUGGAAUUUCCUGUGUAGCGGUGAAAUGCGUAGAUAUAGGAAGGAACACCAGUGGCGAAGGCGACCACCUGGACUAAUACUGACACUGAGGUGCGAAAGCGUGGGGAGCAAACA
rnacentral:rRNA from 1 species